rnacentral:rRNA from 1 species
UUCGAUGCAACGCAAGAACCUUACUAGGUUGACAUCCGAGACUCCGAAAGAAGGUGCCUCGGGAAUUCCGAGACGGUGCUGCAUGGCUGUCGUCAGCUCGUGCCGUGAGGUGUGGUUAAGUCCCGCAACGAGCGCAACCCUAUUGCCAGUUGCUACCAGGUAAUGCUGGGCACUCUGGUGAGACUGCCCCGGUUAACGGGGAGGAAGGUGGGGACGACGUCAAGUCAUCAUGGCCCUUACGCCUAGGGCUACACACGUACUACAAUGGCGCAUACAAAGGGCAGCGAUACCGCGAGGUGGAGCCAAUCCCAAAAAGUGCGUCCCAGUCCGGAUUGCAGUCUGCAACUCGACUGCAUGAAGUUGGAAUCGCUAGUAAUUCGAGAUCAGCAUGCUCGGGUGAAUGCGUUCCCGGGCCUU